rnacentral:lncRNA from 1 species
GGAGGAGGCGGGAAACGAGAGCAGCUGCAAGCAAAAGAGGCGGGAAACGACGGCGGCGUUCUGCGCUCCUAUUGGCUGAGGCACAAGUGCUUGCCUGAGGGUGUGGUUGCAAAUGGUGUGCUUAGAGAGUGAAGUAGCAAGAGGGAUGUGGGCUGAGAAGGAGGUAUGGGAAAUUGGAGAGAAAGCAUCUUCGUACAUCCUUGGAGAGGAACUGAUGGAAAGGAGGAAAGCGCUGAAGAGAUGGAGAAAUAGCCUGGUGCCAACUGUGAGGAGUACAGGAAUGCUGAUUUCAAAUACCUGAGUGGGAAUGGAGCUUGCUGGACCCCACGGCCACCCUGUAAGUAGGAGCUGCUGCAGAAGAAAGAAGGAGCAGCAUGUGGAAGUGUGUGAUGUGGGGCCUGAAAGAGAGAACUGGCAGUCUUAUAACAUUAGCUGUUGCUGUGUGGUGUUUCAAGAUAUUCUUGCCUUUUUUUAAUAACUCUUUCCAGCUCUGUACAGCCUUCUACCUUUUUCUUUAUUAAAUGUGUUUUAGUCUCUGUUUGUUAUUUCCC